rnacentral:rRNA from 1 species
CCCGCUGAACUUAAGCAUAUCACUAAGCGGAGGAGAAGAAAUUAACUAAGAUUGCCCCAGUAACGGCGAGUGAAGCGGCAAAAGCCCAAAAUGGAAAUCUUCCUGUUUCACAGGACGAAUUGUAAUCUACAGCUUGGAAUCUCACCGGUCGGUGGCGCAGAAGUGACUUAGAACGGUCCGCCAGAGAGGGUGACAGCCCCGUAUGUGGUGCCACUGACUAACGAGAUCUAAGUAAAGAGUCGGGUUGUUUUGAAUUGCAGCCCUAAUCUAGGAGAUAGACUUCUUCUAAGGCUAAAUAUUUAUGGGAAACCGAUAGCGAACAAGUACUGUGAAGGAAAGAUGAAAAGAACUUUGAAAAGAGAGUCAAAAGACUUGAAAUCGUUGAGAAGGAAGCGGUAGAAAUUUAUUCUUCUACUUGGAAUGAAGGCGAUGGGCUCGCGUAUUCCGUAGUCCCGGUACGUUAAAGGCCGGUCUGCGGACGUGCGUGACUCAGAGUUGGAUUCCCUGUAGUGAGGCAAAAUGGGGCUUCGCUCCCACAAAAGCUUGGUACAGCCGCCUAGGUUCGCCUGGAACUGUAUUUCUGCUAGUGGGCGCGGAACUCGAGGAAGCUUCGUGCGAUUUUGCCAAAAUGGUUUUUACCGACCCGUCUUGAAACACGG